rnacentral:snRNA from 1 species
GUGCUCACUUCAGCAGCAUUGACACUAAAGCUGGAGUCAGCAGAGAAGAUUUGCACGGCCCUGAGUGAGGACGGCAUGCACGUUUGUGAAGCACAUGCCAUGAUU